UUUGUUAACAAAUGAAGAAACGGCUGCAGCGACAGUUACCAAUCUUUAGACAGAUGGCAUUGACGUCUUACAUGUAAAGGCUGGCUUUAAAGAAAAGAGACUGGUUAAGUAGUAGUUUUUCAGAGAAUCUUUAGCAUGCUUCACCCAGGUAGUAAACCAAUCAGGACUAACAAAUUUUAUUAGAAGCGAAUUAAUCAAUGUAAAUUAAUAUUAUAGUCGCUCGCUUGUAGUAAUCAGCGAAAAAGUAGUUAUUAACACAUUCUUUCUUGUGUAACAUCAUUAUGUACUUUCUAACCGAUUCUGAGCGACUAACAUGCAAGUUUAAACUUCCAUAA